rnacentral:lncRNA from 10 species
GAGCUGCAGACAGGAGCUGUUCCUAUUUGGCCAUCUUGCCUGGGAAUCCUCAUGUUGUUUCUUAAAGGAGAAGACCUAGUAAUAAAAACAGAAAUGCCUUUUAAAUAUUUUAACAAUGAUGGUUGAUAGAAAAGGUGAGGCUACACGGAACGGGGAGCUGGCUACAAAUCAAGAAGCGGGCCCUCACCAGACACUGCAUCUGCUGCCACCUUGAUCUUCAACUUCCCAGCUUCUAGACUAGAUUGGCUACUAUCGACAAUGUUGCUGUCAUCAGAAACUCAUGGGUAUCACUCCAGACAUUACCUUCUUUCUUUUGUCCAGCACCAGCAGCUUACCAAGUCCUAAAAGAUUCACUUGUAGAAUAAUACUUGUAAGUUUCAGCUCCCCUCCAAUCGUAUUUCCUCUCUUGUUCACUUGUAUUACCACAAAUACCUUUCAGCAGGUCUUUUGACCGUCAAUUUAGCCAUUUUAUAUUCCACAUCCCAAGAUCCUGUCAGAAUUUUCUUCCCAAUAUUGAAAUAACACCCUGUCACUCCUAGGAUUAUAAUGACUCAUUUAAGAUAAAAUCCUAGUUUUUCUGUAUAACACUGUUCCCCUUUACUUUUUCAGCUUCAUUCAUCUCUUGACAUUAUCUCAGAUGUAGCUUGCCCUGAGGCAAUGCCAAACACUUGCUGUUCCUUGACUGUUUGCUGCUUUUCCAUGAGUGGGUAAGUUCCAUAUUGGAAGCUUCAUGUAGGGGCUCAGAGCUGGGGCUCUGGGUGAAUACUGCAUAUAGUUAAUUCUUAGCUGUGUCAGCUGUU